UGGGGAAUAUUGCACAAUGGGCGCAAGCCUGAUGCAGCCAUGCCGCGUGUAUGAAGAAGGCCUUCGGGUUGUAAGGUACUUUCAGCGAGGAGGAAGGCGUUGUGGUUAAUAACCGCAGCGAUUGACGUUACUCGCAGAAGAAGCACCGGCUAACUCCGUGCCAGCAGCCGCGGUAAUACGGAGGGUGCAAGCGUUAAUCGGAAUUACUGGGCGUAAAGCGCACGCAGGCGGUCUGUCAAGUCGGAUGUGAAAUCCCCGGGCUCAACCUGGGAACUGCAUCCGAAACUGGCAGGCUAGAGUCUUGUAGAGGGGGGUAGAAUUCCAGGUGUAGCGGUGAAAUGCGUAGAGAUCUGGAGGAAUACCGGUGGCGAAGGCGGCCCCCUGGACAAAGACUGACGCUCAGGUGCGAAAGCGUGGGGAGCAAACA
rnacentral:rRNA from 1 species